ensembl:lncRNA
AUGGAUUACAAAUCUAUGCUUUUUCUACUCUGUCUCUCUGUGCAGGUACUGCUGUCUCCUGAGUUCUUCAGUGUCCCAACUGAGACAUUCAAACCUCAUUGCAGAGCUCAUGUCUUUCCUCACCAUCAUGUGAGUGUGAGAUUGCUCUGGAUUCUGGUUAUGUGGCCUGCAGCACCUAUAAGAACAAGCUCGUACAGUGUGCCUGCAUUCCAGCUUCUUAGACUCUACGUAAGUGGACAGUAUCAGUGUUUGGCCACUCUUACAGACACCGACUUCUGUCAACUCACUGCUACUGAUCAGGCACCUCACUCCAGGAAGACAGAGGGCUGCAAGCCUGUCAUCGUUUCCGGUGUGGCUUUGAAUUCUUGGGGUAGUAUCAGAUUUUUCCCACAAAUAUUCAAAGGUAACAUUUAUUUUAAGCUUAGUUGUUAAAUCAAAAGUCUUCCCUUGUGUUAAUUUUUUAUUAUUAUUUUCUUUUUCUGUUUUUUCUUUUCUUUUAGAUUUAUAUGCAGUGAUCGGAUGUGGUGGAGCUUUGUUAACUGUGUGUAAAACAUCUGUUUGUGAUGAUAUUUACAAUGAGGCUUUAAGGUGACAGUUUCCAUGUAAUUUCAGUCCUUUUACUAAGCAAAAACAUGUUUGCAAUUAACAUAUUUUUUUCAGUUUUGUCUUUUGGAUUUAUGGUUAACAUUCCUCUGUGACAGCAAAUACUAAACUGGUCCAAGUAACCAGCAUAUCAUUGGUCAAAGGCAAAAAGGACCACAUGUCACGCUAGCAAUGAAUUUUUGACUGUGUUUGUGUCACCAGAUUUAACAAACAAUAUCAGACAUAUGAAACUGAACUCUGGAUUAAUGUCUAGAUGUUUUUUGUGUUUUUUUUUUUUAUUGUUGAAUAAUUAUUUUGUAGGACAAACCCAAUCUAUUUACCCAAACAAUGUAACUUGUUUGGGUAAAUAGUGGAUUAAUAUAUCUAAGUCUAUAAGUAUAGCAAGCUGAAUUCAUACAAACACACAGCUCUAAAUCUUGAAUUGUAGCAUGUACAAAAAUGAUCAUGUCAUUAUUAUGGACAUUUAAAUAACUAUAUCUAUUGCACUAUUAGACAUAUUCUUUAUAGAAAUUACACAAUCUCAAAAUGUGAAAAAAGAAAAUGUUUAAGAGAAUAAAUAAUGUGUGUUUGUAUGAAUCCUGCCUUAGUAUGGGGUGUCAGUAACUACAUUAGUAUAGACUAGGUCUAACAGUGGUUUUCGACAUCUGCUCUAAUAUAUAUAGAUAAUGGGUCAGACAUAUAAAGUCAUUUUGAAAAGUCCAUAAAGGUCACAUCCAUUUAUAUGUGUUCCUCUUUAUCAUUUUAUAUCAGGUCACACAGCUGACUUUUGUUUUGAUCAGAGUAGAACCAUAACAUUCAUGCUAAUGGUUCUACUGUUUACAGUUACUUUAUGAUGGAUUUCAUCCUGGUCACAGCACUAUGUGAAAAGCUGUUAGAGGUUAGGUUAACCCAAUUAAUACCUCAUCAUAAGUCACUCUUUAACGCAAAGCAGUGAUUAUUUUCACUGUAAUUUAUUCCACAAUAAUGUUCUUUAUUUGAUCCCUGUUUCUUUAAAUAUGCACAUCGAUUGUUCAGCUGUGUGACUCUCUACACCUCAAAUAUAUCAAAAUGUGGACUUCAUUUCGACAGUAUUUUGUAGAUUGGUACCAUAUUUAUCAUAAAAUCAGGAAACUGUAAACUAACUGAAAAAAUGAAGCUUAUGAAAAUUUUAACGUGGCAUUGGAACAUGUUGUUUAUCCUUGCCAAAUGGUAUUUACACAAAGCUCCAAAUCAGAGCAUAUAUUUUUCUCUCUCACUUGCUGUUUAUAUAUGUGUAUAUUUUUGCAGUUAAUAGCCUAUCAUGUGUCUGCGCAUCUUAGGGCCAUAAACAUAAACAUGGCAAACAAGGAUAUGUUCACAAUUCCAACAGAUGCUUCAAUUGUUUGUAUAGAUGUUAGAUUCAUUUGAUUUGCAUUUUCUAUUAAUAUUUUUCUGUUUGUCCCAAAUGGGAUUUUUAUUUCUGUAUGCCAUUAUUGUAAUCAUUGGAAACAACUGAGUAAAUAUUUUGUAUCAUAUGUUUCUAAAUAUAUUUGAAUGUUCUACUUUUCUACUACUGGUUUUCUACUUUCUAAACUUUCUGUCACUCUUUGGCAUUUCAAUAACAUUAUUUUUGGGUGUUUUUAUCUCUGACCGCAGCAUCUUGUGCAUUUAUUACCUAAAUGUUGUUUGUGUGGGUUUUUGUUUUGUUUGGGGUUUUUUUUGUUCUUGUUUUUUUUGCCAUUUUUAGAUUUCACCAGCUGUGUAAACUCUGUUAUUUUCCCUUGGUUUUGUUCCACAUCAGUUUAUCUGCUGGCUGAUUUUCUUCCUUUUCUAAUGUUUCUGGUAAUUUUUAACAGAUAAACAAGUAACUUUGAGGUUACUUUAGCCUUUUCAGCUGUUAUCUGUUGACAGUUUUGCCUAAUUAUUACAUUUCUGCAAAAUUAUAGCAGUUCUGGUAACUUGUAAUAUUUCUGCCAAGUUUUUAAUUUUCUACUAAAUUAUAUUAUUUUUGCUAGGUUGCACUACUUUUAUUUAUUAUGUUAUGUUAUGUUAAGUUAUGUUAUUCUAAAUUAUUUCAUUUCUGCUAAGUUAUUACAUUUUUGUUAACUUGAUGUUGUUCUGCAACGUAAUUAAAAUUCAACAACUUGUUAAUCACUGACUUUGAUUUCUUCAGCUAUUUUCAACUAUUUUCACAAGACAGCUUCAGCUUUAAAGCAUCCACACUGCAUUUUCGCAGGAAAUGCAAAUUUUUCUAGUUAUUCUUCAUCUGCAAGUUGCUUCCGUACGUUUUUCGGCGCUUAACUACUGCCUCAGUUUUCAGCCGAUUUUCACCGUUCAAAUCUUAAAAAAUUCUGCUCUUUCUGCUCUUUCCAGCUAUGACUUUUGGUGCUCAUAACUGCUAUACUUUUUGAGAUAUUGAAUUUUUUUUGCAAUAUUUUUUGCCCAUUUCUGCCAUAUCAUCAGUGGCCUCACUUAUUUUCCUUGCCGGGUUGACCUGUGUUUUAGCUCAGUGAGAUAAGCAGCCGUUCUCAGACUGGGAGACCCGGGUUCAAAUCCCGCUUAUGGCAACAUUUCUUUCAGUUAACAGUUAAACUGUUUUAACUCAAUUUCAGCUUUUUCACCCCUUUUCAGCAAAAUUUUCAGUUUUUUCACCACUUUUCAGCACAAAUCCCAACUUUUUCAGCUAUUUUCAGCAAAAACAUCUUUUCAGCAGAAUUCUGAAAAGAGUUCUGCAGAACUCUUUUCAGCAGAAAUUCUGCUGAUUGAACUCUUUUCAGCAGAAUUUUCACCUCUUUUCAGCCAAAUUCUGCUUAUUCACCUCUUCUGCAAAUUUUCAGCCUUUUCACCUCUUAUUAGCACAAGUCUCAGCUGUUUUCAGGAAAAACUGUUUUGAGCAGAAAUUCUGCUGAUUCAUCUCUUUUCAGCGCAACUUUCUGCUUCUUGCCUUUUCAGCAGAAUUCUGCUGAUUCACCUCUUUUCUGCAAAAUUUUCAGCCUUUUCUCCUCUUAUCAGCACAAUUCUCAGCAGCUUCUGCUCAUUUCAGCAGAGUUGGCCAUCUCUCCACCUCUUCUUGGUCAGAGUGAGUUUAGCUCAGUGAGAUGAGUAACUGCCUUGAGAGCAGGAGGGCCAGGUUCGAAUCCUGCUCAGGGCAAUUUUUUUCUUUUCACCACCAUACAACUUUUUGCAACUUUUCAUCUUUUUCAGUUUUUGAGCAGACAGCUUCAGCGUUAAGGCAUCCACACAGCAUUUUCGCAGGAAAUGCAAAUUUUUCUAGUUGUGUGGAUGCCCUAAAGGGCUUCCACACUAUUGUUUCCUGUUUCUCUUUCUUUUAUUAUUAUUCCCCUAGUUGCUUCCGUACACUUUUUGGCACUUAUCUACUCCUCAGUUUCAGCCGAUUUCUCCGUUCAAACUCUAAACUGUUCUGCUCUUUCUGCUAAUGCCGGCUAUGACUUUUGGUGUUUAUUACUGUUAUACUUUUUAAAAUAUUACACUUUUUUCCUUUAAUUUGUCCCAUUGAAAUGAAUGGGAAACUUCCACAAUUCUGCUAAAUCUUGCUUGUUUUUGAAACUUAACUACUUUGUCAUACUUUCACCUAGAAACUCCAUUCAAACUUUAAAAUGUUCUCAGAUUAUUGGGCUAUUCCUGUCUGAUUCAGCUUUUUCAGAUCUUCUACCGUUUUAAUUUUAUACCUCUUUAAGUUUUCAGUUGCAACAUUGUGAUUUUUCACAAAAUACAUGCGUUGCUAUGGUUGCUAUGCAAUUAAGUCAGAGUGAGG